rnacentral:rRNA from 1 species
CGCGUGCUUACACAUGCAGUCGAACGAUGAAGCUGGAGCUUGCUCCGGUGGAUUAGUGGCGAACGGGUGAGUAACACGUGAGAAAUCUGCCCUUGACUCUGGGAUAACUGCGGGAAACUGUAGCUAAUACCGGAUACUUUCCCUGGUGGGCAUCCACUGGGGAAGAAAGAAUUUCGGUCAAGGAUGAUCUCGCGGCCUAUCAGCUAGUUGGUGAGGUAACGGCUCACCAAGGCGACGACGGGUAGCCGGCCUGAGAGGGUGACCGGCCACACUGGGACUGAGACACGGCCCAGACUCCUACGGGAGGCAGCAGUGGGGAAUAUUGCACAAUGGGCGCAAGCCUGAUGCAGCAACGCCGCGUGAGGGAUGACGGCCUUCGGGUUGUAAACCUCUUUUAGCAGGGAAGAAGCGAAAGUGACGGUACCUGCAGAAAAAGCACCGGCUAACUACGUGCCAGCAGCCGCGGUAAUACGUAGGGUGCAAGCGUUGUCCGGAAUUAUUGGGCGUAAAGAGCUCGUAGGCGGUUUGUCACGUCUGCUGUGAAAAUCCAAGGCUCAACCUUGGACUUGCAGUGGGUACGGGCAGGCUAGAGUGCGGUAGGGGAGAUGGGAAUUCCUGGUGUAGCGGUGGAAUGCGCAGAUAUCAGGAGGAACACCAAUGGCGAAGGCACAUCUCUGGGCCGUAACUGACGCUGAGGAGCGAAAGCGUGGGGAGCGAACAGGAUUAGAUACCCUGGUAGUCCACGCCGUAAACGGUGGGUGCUAGCUGUGGGCCACAUUCC